rnacentral:rRNA from 1 species
AGAACGAACGCUGGCGGCAUGCCUAACACAUGCAAGUCGAACGAGACCUUCGGGUCUAGUGGCGCACGGGUGCGCAACGCGUGGGAAUCUGCCCUUAGGUACGGAAUAACAGUGAGAAAUUACUGCUAAUACCGUAUGAUGUCUUCGGACCAAAGAUUUAUCGCCUAGGGAUGAGCCCGCGUAGGAUUAGCUAGUUGGUGGGGUAAAAGCCUACCAAGGCGACGAUCCUUAGCUGGUCUGAGAGGAUGAUCAGCCGCACUGGGACUGAGACACGGCCCAGACUCCUACGGGAGGCAGCAGUGGGGAAUAUUGGACAAUGGGCGAAAGCCUGAUCCAGCAAUGCCGCGUGAGUGAAGAAGGCCUUCGGGUUGUAAAGCUCUUUUACCCGGGAAGAUAAUGACUGUACCGGGAGAAUAAGCCCGGCUAACUCCGUGCCAGCAGCCGC